CAUUAUGGGUAGCAGGAACUGCGCAAGAUCCACCGAAGCCCAGUUCACUUUUUGGCAUGAUGCUGUUGCUGAUGUCUUCCUCACGGUGUCGCAGAUACGGCUGUGCUCUAAGAGUGACAGCUGCCGUGGUGUCAGAAAAGGCUGAGAUGAUACAUUCAGAUGCACUGAAGACACACGUUUCCAGAGCCUCUCUAGAGGAUAUUUUUAUGCCUAGAACAUGCUUAAUUGAAACCAGGCACCAGGAGCAAGAUAGUGGGAGAACCUAUAUCUAUACCCCUGCAACUCGCUGUGAGCCACUUACUGGGUUUUCCUAGGACCGAGUUUGCUUGUCUAUAAAUCCAGGAGAAUAAAAUUGACUGCACAGACUUACUGAGAAGAUGAAAUGGCACGCCGCACAUUAUGUACUUUGCUAUAAUGCCCGACCUAAAUGAACGUUUGUCUCCUCACUUGCUCCUGCUAUGGAAGGAUGAUCUUAGAUUGAGAAAAGAUAAAUAUUGCUGGAAUGAUAUGAGAGAAUAUCUAUAUUCUUAGGAAAUCGAAAUGAACGGUGUCUUCAAGAUAUUCUUAAAUGAUAACUCAGGGAAGAAAAUGGCCACCAGACAGACAGAGACAGACAGACUGUGAGACACAGAAAAGAAGUGUGAGAUAAAUGGCCAGAGAGAAAGAUAUAGUUAAGUCCUGGCCAUAGGAUGGCCUUACAGCUACACCCAGAGAAAAUAUGUCUUCAGCGGGUGUGAGAAGCCAGUUUACAGCCCGAGGAGUCUGGACGGCCCUUGUAGAAACCUGAUUACUCUGUUUAUGACGACUCAGACAGCCAAGGAGAAGCCAUGGCUCUGUCAAAUAGCUCAGCCUAAGUGAAAAGCAACACCCAUCCCUGGAGACCCUGAAGAGAGAGAGUGACAGGGGCUGGGGACACACAAAUCACAGGCCACUAGCAAACAUAGUGUGCAACUGUCUCUCCAAGGCCCCAUCUCUAUCAAAAUAAACAUGGGAAAGAGAGACUCAAGCGGAGCCAAGGCCAGUUCAGAUUUAGCCCAGCUGCUGCUGCAGCAGCCGGCUUCUGUGGCAGUUUUAGAUUUUGUGGCACUUUGGGUAUGUUUUGCACUCUCCCUCCUCCAGCCCCUGUGUUGCUUUGUCCUCCUGCGUAGAAAGGGAGCUUUCAGAGUAGCAAUGGGUUUUUGCUGGUGGUGGUCCACAAACAAUAGUGCUCCCGCUGGGACAGAGUCUUGGUUACUGGUCUUGCUCAACAGAGUAUGUUCCUGGAAAGACUUGCGUCAAUGGACUCAGAAAGAAAAGACCCCGGUACAAGCCCAAGGCAUGACUUCAGAGAGAAAUGCGUCAUAGCCCAUUGUCUUUGGAGGUCUCUGUCAGCAGGGGGCAGAAGUCCAUGACUGCUCUGAGGGGCUGCCCGGAGCCUUCACAGAGCCUGUGAAAUAGUUUUCAAUGGCAGCUCAGCUCCUCCGCAGGUUCAGCUCCUCAGCAGGCUCACCUUGUCUUCUAGUGUCAGCAUUUUUACAUUUCAGGUUUCCCAGAGAGAGAAACUGCCUGCCUUCGAUUCCCCUCGUCAGAACAGGCCAACUGGUCUCCAGAACUAGACAGAAGAACUCCACUGAAUAAUAGCACACUGGUAAUGUUGGACCUGGUGGGAGUCCCUGACCCCCCACGUAUCCUCGAGGAGGUUCACGUGGCCAGCAUGACGUCAUAAAGCUUGCAAUGAUACAACCAGUCAAAUGAAGCUUCUCCCCUCCCGUGGGAUCUGCAAGAAGCACUCGGGAUGCCUGUGUCCAUCUUAGGAGCUGUGCUUCAGUGCAGAAGAACCCGAGGGUCCCGCAGUCCUGGAAUCUUUCCCUUGUUCUAUGGCUGCCCACGGCUAGGUAGGUCCCUGUCACAUCUAACGUUGGCUCACUCUUCCUCCUCCUCUCCUCCUCUUCCUCCUCCUCCUGAGGAGCUUAGGGGUGAAGUGUAGGAAGAAAGAAGAGAAAUUUACUAAGGCAAAGAGUCAUUGUAAGGAGAAGACCUCUGAGAACCUGGAGGCAGAGCUCUGUGGCUCUAGGGCACGGUGUGGGGCUCCCAGAUCCAGGUUGCUUCAACCUUAAACCACCUCCAUUUUCCAGCACUGUUACCUCAGGAGAGGUACCAAGUCUCUCUUGGCCCCAGUUUCUCAACUAUACAAUAAGGUAAUAAUAGUACCUAUGUAUGGGGCUGUCUGGAAGACUAAAUGAGCCCAUAUGUUGUAGAAAGGUAAACACAACAGACAUGUUAGCUAUAGUCUGUGGCAUCUGGGAUCUCCAUGUCCUACCAGCUGUCUAUGUAGAAGCAUAGUGUUGUAUAAGCUUCCCACCUCUAGCCAUUUAGGAGAAGUGGUCCUCAGAGAUUCGUUUGAGUUAGCACAGAAUGUCAGAGCCAUCACCCCUGCUCUUCAUCACAUGGCUAGAGUUUGCCUGGCUUGUACGGGGCCUCCAUGGGAACCUCAGGUCACCCAAAGAGAAGCAGAUACGACAAGCAGACCAGUAUAAGGACAACGUUGGCACAGAAGCCUGGGCAGAGUCACAGCUAGCACACAGUGGUAGAAAGAUUUAUUACCCAGUAACAACCGUCGUUAGUUCCGUGGGUCGUAACUAGUUAGGACCGUGUGCAAAGCGUUGUCACAGACAUCAUCCGUGUAGGUGAUAGACACUCGGUGGUCUAUCACAAGCUGUGGGAUGGCCUCAUCCUCUGGCCUGGGCACCAGGCUAGGAGGCCAUGUGUAACAUGGCAAGAUGUAAGGCAUAGUACAAAGAGGUUACAACUCAUCUGAAAACCUAGAAUUUCUCCUACCUCUCAAACUCAUCAUGUGGAAAGUUACUAUCCAUAUGUCCGUCCAUAAAGGAAUGGGGUUUUAGAGAAGUCAAAUGACCCAUCUGUGACCCACACAGCUCUCAGCUCCAGCACUCAGACCUGAAUUUAGAUCUCUGAUUCCAAGGCCACAGGCUCAGUGGUCAACGCUGGAGGGCAGAAAUGAUGUGUGGGACAAACUCAGAACUGCCCUGCCCGUGGCUCUCACAGCCUUUUCUAAUUGCCCCCAAAGGGGCUCAAGUGAUACCAGCUCUCAUUUUACACCCAAAGCUCAAGGAGACAUCAGGGUGAAGGCUCUGACCCCAGACUGCUUGUCACCCAGGCCAGCCUCCUCCCAGCCUAGAUAAGAGUACAUGGUAGAAACCACAAAACUAACUUUAACUGAAAUAUGAACUUCCAGAUAAGCACUCUUUCCUACUCAGCACCAUGGAUAUACAGACAUGGAGAGGGCAGCACGUGGAGACCUUCCCAGCAGAGCGUGUGAGAGGAGAGGGGAAGGAGGCCACAGCUGAGCCGCUCACCAGGCGUCUCUGACAGGGCUCGACCAGGGGCAUUUGUUUUGAUGGCAGGCGUGAGGGCAA
rnacentral:lncRNA from 1 species